UAAGGCUUUAGCUUAAUUAAAGUGUCUGUUUUGCAUGCAGUAGAUGUGGGUUAGUCACCUGCAAGUCUU
ensembl:Mt_tRNA